CCUAGUGGCGAACGGGUGAGUAACACGUGAGGAACCUGCCCCGAAGACCGGGAUAACUCUUCGAAAGGAGAGCUAAUACCGGAUGCCCUCUACUGAUCGCAUGGUCGGUUGAGAAAAGGAUUCUGCUUCGGGAGGGCCUCGCGGCCUAUCAGCUUGUUGGUGAGGUAACGGCUCACCAAGGCGACGACGGGUAGCUGGUCUGAGAGGACGAUCAGCCACACUGGGACUGAGACACGGCCCAGACUCCUACGGGAGGCAGCAGUGGGGAAUCUUGCGCAAUGGGCGAAAGCCUGACGCAGCAACGCCGCGUGCGGGAUGAAGGCCUUCGGGUUGUAAACCGCUUUCAGUGGGGACGAAUUCAGACGGUACCCACAGAAGAAGCCCCGGCCAACUACGUGCCAGCAGCCGCGGUAACACGUAGGGGGCGAGCGUUGUCCGGAAUCAUUGGGCGUAAAGAGCUCGUAGGCGGCUCAGUAAGUCGGGUGUGAAACCCCCAGGCUCAACCUGGGGACGCCACCCGAUACUGCUGUGGCUAGAGUCCAGUAGGGGAGUGUGGAAUUCCCGGUGUAGCGGUGAAAUGCGCAGAUAUCGGGAGGAACACCAGC
rnacentral:rRNA from 1 species